UGAUCUAUGAUUGGCUUACAAGUCUCAAGUAUUUAAUAGUGGUCCAAGAGUCAAGACAAUGAAGAAAGGUGUAAAGUACCAAGUUUUUUUAGUGUUUUGGUAAUUUUGUUGGCACUUGAGACUUGAAAGUGGUCUCAUGGAAGAAAGUCAAGAAACUACAUUGUUUCUCAUUAUUGUUAUUUGUUAUUGUUGGCACUUGAAACUUGAAAGUGGUCUCAUGAAAACUACAUUGGUGCAUUAUUGUUACUUGUUA